UAUGUACUCCCUCCGUCCCGAAUUACUUGUCUUAGAUUUGUCUAGAUACGGAGGUAUCAGUCCUAAAAUGAGUCUAGAUACAUCCGUAUCUAGACAAAUCCAAGACAAGUAAUUCGGAACGGAGGGAGUACUAA
rfam:Triticum urartu cultivar G1812 contig184107, whole genome shotgun sequence.